CCCUUAGAUGUCCGGGGCUGCACGCGCGCUACACUGAAGGAAUCAGCGUGCUAAAACCAUUGUCGAAAGGCAUUGGUAAACCCAUUAAAAUCCUACGUGAUUGGGAUCGGGAAUUGCAAUUAUUUCCCUUGAACGAGGAAUUCCCAGUAAGUGUGGGUCAUAAGCUCGCGUUGAUUACGUCCCUGCCCUUUGUACACACCGCCCGUCGCUGCCCGAGACUGAGCCGUUUCGAGAAAAGCGGGGACUGCUGCUGUCGGGGCUUUCGGGCCUUGGCUUCGGUGGAAACCGCUUUAAUCGCAGUGGCUUGAACCGGGCAAAAGUCGUANCA
rnacentral:rRNA from 1 species